UGCAGUCGAGCGAGAAGCUCUCUUCGGAGAGUGAGUAGAGCGGCGCACGGGUGAGUAACGCGUGGAUAAUCUGCCCUGAAGAUCGGGAUAACAGUUGGAAACGGCUGCUAAUACCGUAUAAUCUGCAUAUUUAACUUUAUGUGGGAAAGAUGGCCUCUACUUGUAAGCUAUCACUUUUGGAUGAGUCCGCGUCUCAUUAGCUUGUUGGUGGGGUAAUGGCCUACCAAGGCAACGAUGAGUAGCUGGUCUGAGAGGAUGAUCAGCCACACUGGGACUGAAACACGGCCCAGACUCCUACGGGAGGCAGCAGUGGGGAAUAUUGCGCAAUGGGGGAAACCCUGACGCAGCGACGCCGCGUGUAGGAAGAAGGCCUUCGGGUCGUAAACUACUGUCAAGAGGGAAGAAACCGUAGAGCAUUAAUACGGCUCUGCGCUGACGGUACCUCUAGAGGAAGCACCGGCUAACUCCGUGCCAGCAGCCGCGGUAAUACGGAGGGUGCGAGCGUUAAUCGGAAUCACUGGGCGUAAAGCGUGCGUAGGCGGCGUGUCAAGUCAGGCGUGAAAGCCCUCGGCUCAACCGGGGAAUUGCGCUUGAAACUGGUAUGCUAGAGUCUCGGAGAGGUUGGCGGAAUUCCAGGUGUAGGAGUGAAAUCCGUAGAUAUCUGGAGGAACACCGGUGGCGAAGGCGGCCAACUGGACGAGUACUGACGCUGAGGUACGAAAGCGUGGGUAGCAAACAGGAUUAGAUACCCUGGUAGUCCACGCUGUAAACGAUGGAUAU
rnacentral:rRNA from 1 species